CAGGCUUCAUCUGCUUAUUCUGAGUCCUUGACAACAGAGUGGGGAUUCUGAGUCCCCAUUUCAGGCUCAAGAGAGGUGGCCUUCUUGUUUCUCAUCAUCUGAUUUAUACCUUGAGGAGUAAAGCAACCUGGGAAGACACCAAUGAUUCUGAUUACAUGCAGCAUGAAUCUGAUUCCUUUUUGUCUGGCUCACUUUCUCAGCACCCAAUUCAUUUCCAGAAGCACAUCAAUUCCAGGAAGUGCAAGACCCUAGGACAGAGUAUUCUUUCAUUGCCUGCUAAUGCGCAUCUUUCCAGGAGACUCCUUUCCUCGCUGGAUUUGAAGAAGCAAGCUGCCAUGUGGUUAGGCAAGGGCUUCAAGAUGGUGAGGAACUGAGUGUGGCCUCCUACUAUUUGCCAGCAAGAAACAAAGACUCUCAGUCUGGUAAAUGCAGGGUUCUCUGCUGCUGAGUCAUGAGAAUAAAGGUUUAGCCCUGAGUGGAAUGGAGACUCCUGGAGCCUGAAUUCAUGGUGAUGGUUCCUAUCUACUUCUGCAACAGCUUGGCUGGCCGAUCCAAAGGACAUCUCUCCAGAAGUCUCUGUUCUUCAUAAUGCUAACUGAAUGGAGUCAGUAACAAAGCAGGCAAAGAAAGGAUCCUGCUCUGUCUCCUAGAAACCCUAUAUCUUGGCUGGGUUCUGAAUGAGCAACUUUUCGCACUUGUCUCUAGAGCUGACCACAACUUUCCUGAUCUCUCACCUGCAAUCCUGUGUUUAUUUUACCUGUAGUUCGAGUCUACCCAACUCACAGCCAUUAAACUAGAUUUCACUAAGCCCAAUUCUUCAUUUUCUCUCUUUCUUUUUUUUGCUUAGUCACUAUGAUAUUUCUGUACUUGGUGUGACAAAAAACAAACUCCUCCAUCUUGGGAUAUACCCUUCUCAAACCAAACCUGCUCACUUGUUCUCCCUUCCUACCUGGCUCACUACCACACACACCUCUGCUCUCAUUGUUCCUGCCAACAACAUUGUCUUCCUCUCAAGCCCACUUCCUUGCCUACUGACUCUUCCUGCUGUGCAUGCUCAUUUCCACAUCUGAAAGGAGUCAAUGUGCUGCUCCAGGUCCCAGACACACUCAGCAUGAAGCGCACAGCUCACCAACAGUGCUCCCCUCCUCUCCAUCCCCCACCAAACCCCAGCUGCUGACUCAGACUUGGGCUGAUGGGGCACCCAGACCUCACCUCUUCACCCCUGCUCUAUGGGCCUCAUUGCUAUAACUGAGCUGUUGUCUGGGUCCUUGUGUAGGUUCCAGCUGAGUCAUCUUGCCUCAUCUUUU
rnacentral:lncRNA from 1 species